AGUAACCUCUCGACUUUAUGUUUCUUCGAUUGAUUUCUUCGUUUUCUUGGGGAAACAAAGAGAGAGCCAGAGAGGCGAGAGAUAAGUAGAUGAUUUUAUUUGCGAUUUUCGUUUGAUUUCAGCUUCGAAUUUUCAUUUUUAGGUUUGUUUCGAUUCUGAUUUUUCUCUUUUAGGUUUUAGAUCUUUAUUUUGUUGUUUUCUUAGGGUUUUGAAGCACAUGACAUAUAGCAGAAGAAAGGAGCUCUGCAAACUUAAAGGGGGGAUUAGGCGGAAAGGGAAUAUAAGGAGGCACACUUCAAACGGAAAACGACAAUAGGAUGAUCCAAACGAUUCAAACCAUGACAGUAGUGAGAUAUAAGAAGUCCCCUAGGACUACAAAUGAAUUUUUCAUUUGAUUUAUUAUUGUGUUGACGAUGAUCAAGUAAUUAUACUUUUCAUAUUGUAACAGAAAACUUACCAUUAAAGAUUUUUUGUGAGUUAUA